GAGGUGCAGGAUACCUCGUAAAUCCAUCUGCAAACUUAUAGUUGCCAACGACGACAACUACGCACUCGCAGCUUAAACCCCUGUAGGGUGCCGUCUGACUGGAGCCGUGCAUGUGCGUCCAGAGUUUCCGGUUUUCGAACUGGUAACACUCAGGCGUCGACUCUCACAUGAUCGCGAUGAAGCACGUACGGGGUGGAUUCGCUAAAACUUAACCGUAAUCGCUGGUUAUCUUCCCUGCCCGUCGGGUAGUGGCCAGUUAAAUUAAUAGACGUGGAUAAGCAUGUAGAGCCGAUGGCAGAGGACUUGCGGACGGCGGUUCGAUUCCGCCCGCCUCCACCA
rnacentral:tmRNA from 1 species